rnacentral:lncRNA from 1 species
AGUGGGCGGUGCGCAGGCGCAGCUGCUGCGGCUCCUGAAAUCCUCCGGUGUGAACUUCUCCCAGGGCUGUUGAUGCUUCAUCUACUCUUCUGGCAGUGGGGGCCUGGACCUUAGUUACCCGGGAAGCGUGAGUCAUGUUGCACAGUUGAGCUGGCACAUAAAACUACGAGUCACACCAGAAGAGGGCAUUGGAUCCCACUAUAGACUGUUGUGAGCCACCUUGUGGUUGCUGGGAAUUGAACUCAGGACCUCUGGAAGAGCAGUUGGUGCUCUUAACUGCUGAGUCAUCUCUCCAGCCCCAGUUUAUAGAACAAGGAAUUGAAGCUUGGAGAAGAUUGAUGGACCACUCAAGUUCCCUGGAUGGUCCAGGAUGCAGACUGAGGAUGGCCUAAAACAUUAGUUUUGCUGGCUCCCUGUGCUUGGCUAACUUUAGAGCCUCUUACCUUGCCACAGUCUUUUCUAUGAAGGACAGAGAGCCAAGGAGUGGACCAACAUGCCUGAGUUUACACAGUGGACCUGAGGACCGUCACCUCCCAGUGCAAUGUUCCUGUGUACUGCCACUGAAGAGACAGGUGGGAGGGAGCUCAAGGUUGACUUGCCUAACAACCAUUGCUUGAAAGACAAAGCUCCCAAGGAGAGCACAAAAUACCUCACUCGAGACUCCUCUGCAUCACCAACCAGUGUGAAGAAAGCCUGCAGCUGUCAGCAGAGUAUUCUUUGUCUCGGUGACACGCUGUGCCUACAGUUGGACUAGAAACUUUGGAUUAGGGUGUGAGUCGUGCCCCAUAGGACAGAGGUGGUGCAUGUAGCCUCAUUUUGGAGUUUAUUUAGAGAGGAGAAAGAAUGUACCAUAGUCCCCAAAGGCUCUAGGUUACAGUGAAUUCUCUUUAGUUCAGUUAUAGUUUAGUUUAGCUUGGUUUGGUUAGCUGUGGUUCCGUUCUGUUCCGUUCUGUUCUGUUCGGUUCAGUUCGGUUCAGUUGCAGAGUUGUUGCUCUUUCAUGCUUUGCAUCCCAACUCCCUGCUCUCUCUUGGCUUUGGUUCCCAUCAGGUCCAGAAUAAAUGGCAAGGAGAGGGUCAUAGAACAAGUUAAACGAUGCUUUUUAUUGGCAGGAUUGGGACUAAAGAGAUCAGGAGUAAGACUGGGAAUAAGUAUGCCAACUUAGGGUGUGGGGUAAAAUAAAUAGUAACCGGUGAGGGUCUCCAACCCAAUGAGGUACCAUUUGCCUCAGUGUCUGGACCUGUUCAUCUUCUUUGCUUUGUGAUCCAGGAUAUGUGGCUUGCCACUAACUGAAAGAGGACUUCCAGGGGCUCUAACUGGGUACCAAAUACUCCAUCUUGCACAUGAGAGGUCCUUGGUCUUAGAGGUAUUCGAGCUGGUCUCUAAUGAGUCAUCUGAAGGGAGAAAACAAUUCAGAUGGGGCUGGUUCCUAGUGAGGGACUCCCCAGAGUUUAUAUCACCAAUGCGAUUAGAACUUCAAGACACACCUGAACGGAUGGAGCUGAGUCCCCAGAGGAAUAGCCCAUGCCUAGUGUCCCCAGCUCUCCCUUUCUCACCCCAGGAGAAUUAAAUUCCUCUGAAUAGGAGUCAGGAUCCCAGAGCUUCCUCACCCCCAGCAUCCUUCUGACAGCGUCCAGCCGGGCCUGGAUCCGUGGAGCCUCCUGUGGACACAGCAUCUGCAGCUCCCCAGGUCUCAUGUGAAGUAGCUGGCUUCCCAUUAGGGACCCGAGGGUCCUUACAGUGCUGUAAAUAACAAUGGUAGAAUCCACCAGAAGUAGGGUGGGCAGAUUCUAGGUCUUAGUAUUUGUGUAGAGAAGGAAAGUUGGGGUUACAGGAAUUAGGUAUCUGCAGGUACAGGGAUACACCUAGUGGUUUGGUCUCAGUGAACCACAGAACUCCGAGAUUUGAGGGCAGAAACACUUUAAAAAAGACUGGUCUGGAAGGGAAGGGUGGCUAAGGUGGGCAGCCCAAGUUCUUCCAGAAUUUGCUACCCUUGACUCUUUCUCUUUCACUACAUAUGGCCUCUGCACUGGGUGACCUACCCUAGGCUCAGACAAGCAGCUUUCAUUCAGCAGAGAAAGCCUAAGAUGGAGUCAUCAAGUACAGUGGAAGCUAGGUCACACUCUCUAACUCUGAGAGUGAAUGGAGCCUGUGGUUCUCCCAUUUACAGGGCUCACCGCCCCUCAUCCCCCAGGGGACUGGUCACUCACACAGUGGAGAAGUUCUCUGCUUGUAGCCAGGCUGUGACCUCCUCAGGCUUUGAGCUCAGGCGAAGCAUUGGGGCCUGGAAUCAAGGAGCACUAGAAGUCAGAGGUCAUCCCAUCUUACAAACAUACACAGCCUCCUGUAUUGGGUCCCUUCUACUGAGAUCCCAUCAGGAUGCUUAUCUCACCUUCUGGUUUCCUAGUUCGGCAGGGACGCUCACCUAAUCUUUGUUCAGACCCUAUAAUGAACUUGGCACCGAGGAAGCAUGCAAUGAUAUUGAUUAAACUGAACUAAGAUUGUC